UCGGGAAUAUUGCGCAAUGGAGGAAACUCUGACGCAGUGACGCCGCGUAUAGGAAGAAGGUUUUCGGAUUGUAAACUAUUGUCGUUAGGGAAGAUACAAGACAGUACCUAAGGAGGAAGCUCCGGCUAACUACGUGCCAGCAGCCGCGGUAAUACGUAGGGAGCAAGCGUUAUCCGGAUUUAUUGGGUGUAAAGGGUGCGUAGACGGGCCUACAAGUUAGUUGUGAAAUACCUCGGCUCAACUGAGGAACUGCAACUAAAACUGUAAGUCUUGAGUGCAGGAGAGGUAAGUGGAAUUCCUAGUGUAGCGGUGAAAUGCGUAGAUAUUAGGAGGAGCACCAGUGGCGAAGGCGACUUACUGGACUGUAACUGACGUUGAGGCACGAAAGUGUGGGGAGCAAACAGGAUUAGAUACCCUGGGUAGU
rnacentral:rRNA from 1 species